AGAGAGAGAAAGAGAGAGAGAGAGAGAGAGAACAGAGUCGGUUUAACUGAGCUCUGCACAGAGAAGAAAAGGCCGAGGAAACCCGAUGAGAUGAGACUCGAGAUUCAUUUGGUGUCCCUCUGUUUGCUGAUGGUUACCGGGUCGCCGCAGACUGGAGGUCAGAGCCAUGCUUUGCCUACUUCCUUCACCUCAACCACGUUUCCUGCUCCUGCUGAGGCCCCGGUCAACGAGUUCCCACAGCAGACGCCAAACCCUGCAGGCAGGAAUGAAACGUCAGGUGAUCUCCGGGCCUCUGGCGCCACCGCCGCCCCGACGGAAAGCAUGGUCCGAUCAGGGACACCAGCGGGUGCAGGACACCCGCAUGGCUCAACUUCCACUAAAGCGACAUCUCAGUUCACAAACGCUCCCGCUGUCACAACUCCAUCUCUCUCAGCCGCCCCAGAAGGCCUUUCAUCGGCACCGACCGCUGCGAGCGCCACCCCUCAGCACGCCACCUCCCAUACGUACUCCCCAGCGACCAGCGAGGCCCACUCCACCUUUUCAUCUGGAGCCACGACCCCCGCCUCUGUCUCACACACACCGGCUCCUGGUUGGGUCCCUGUGGGGCCCACACAGCCGGAGUUUCCGUCGGAGCUCAACAUCGGCGAUGACGACUCGAAGGAGUCCCACCGCCACUCCAGCUCUCCUCUGGACCCCCUGCUGGCCGGUCUGCUGUCAGUGUUCAUUGUUGCCACAGCGGUGGUCUUCACUGUCCUCUUCUUCAAGUUCCGCCAGAGGGUGAACCACCCCGAGUUCCACCGGCUACAGGACCUUCCCAUGGUAAGAGACAUCAACACACUCUCUACUCGUAGUCUUUGAUAUUUUUUACAGUAUUGUUAUUCGUUUCCUAGCAUGUUUCAAUUCUCAGGAAGUGAUCCAUCUGCCAGUUAUCUUCCUGUUGUGACAGGACCAAUGACAACAGGAAAUUGGGAUUCUGUUUCUUUAAGAAACUCCUGCUCAGGAAGUGAUCACAACAUGGCUCCUCUACUAACCCUUUAACAAAGUUUAACAAUGUUUCACUGAGAAGUAGGUCCUGUAAUGAGCUCAGCGCAUGCACAGUUCCACCAGGUGUUUGCUGAUUGAUGCUGGCUAGUUUGAAGGAGCUGAGGGGGCUAAAGAUCGGAAACUUGCAAACAAGAAGGUUUCUGGGUAUCAAAGCCCCUUUAAGAAAGGAAACAAAAAUGACAUGCUUCCAUUUUUGCUAAACAAAGAAUUCUCUCUGCAGGACGAUUUGAUGGAGGACACGCCCCUCUCGCGGUACGCCCACUGACGGAUUCUCCUCUCGACUCCUUCACUCGCACCAUGGAGAGAACAUGUGCCAAAAAAGAAGCACCUUGUUUUAUAUGUGGAGAAGCAUAUGUCUUCAAGAUUAGUCCAAAUUACUGACUUCUCUGUUUAAGGCUCACUGUUGAAACGAUUAUUUUGUUAUUUUGUCGUUGUAGAGUCGCCUAAACCUUCUUCCAUAUUCCCGUCUAAGUCCUGGAGACUUUUGAGUCUCACACAAAUAGUGCAAAUUCAAGGCACUUUUGCACAAAGAGCAGCAUUUUCAAGGUGACAUGUAUCACACUGCCCUCUAGUGGACAUGUGAAAUAUUGUAGGUUGAGAAAUCCAUCCAGGACAAAAAUAAACCUCAGGUGAUUGUCACUCUGAAUGAGGAUUUGAGGUUCAGACUGAGAAACAUCACUGGAGAUGAUUUAGCUGACCAAAUAUGAGUGAAGUGCACUUUCAAUCCAAACUGUUGCCUUAUCGCUGCAUGAGGUAAUACAGAAAGUUCACAUGUAAAUUAUAUUUUUACUCUACAGUAUUUGAAAAACCAGAUGUACCAGUAACCUUUUUUUUACUUUAUUUUUUAAACUGGUUGAAUUUAGGAAUAUGUGGUGGUGUUUGGUAAACGUUGUUGUGAAACUUCUCUGUAUCAUUUUGGAAUGAGAAUCCUGAAAUUGGUGAUUGUUCCUUAUAUUGAAUGUUAAAUGUGCCAACGCACUUUUACUUCCCAACCUGGAAAGUAAAAGUGUUGCAAUUAACACACAAGUUAAAAGUGAAAUUGAACGCUGUUGUGAGGGUCUGAGUGUCGGGUGUCUUGCAAAAACAUUCCUAGCGCUCAAGCUUUUCCACGUUUCGUCAUGCUGUAACCACAAACUUCAGCAUGUCUUAAUGGGCUGUUAUAUCAACGAGAAACACAGAUUAGUGCAAAAUAGAAAAGUAAACAAAAUCCAAUCCAAUUGCCUCCAGUCAACUCAUUGCUAAUGGAUUAUGAAACAACAUCUAAAGUUUUGGAAAUGUCACAAAAUACUUGACAGUUCAUCUGAAAAUUAAAAUAGCUCAAGCAGUCAAUGUUACAACAAAUCCAAAGAGGCCUCUGACUGAAGACUGCUGGUGCAUGAAUAUCAAGACAAGCAAACGGCUCAAGUUCCAUGUUGUGGGGACAAUUUCCAUAGUAACCUACUGCAUGACAUUAGUUGUUUUAAGCACCGCUAAUGUUAAUAUCGACUUACGUAGGCUAAAUAAAUGCCCGCCACACCUUUCAGAUUUUUAUCUUGCUUGUAGUUGGAAGCUGACAGAAUGUGGAGAAAGUUCAAGGGCUUUGAAUUUCGCAAGAUUCUCCGCUGAUAGUUUUGCUUUACUCUCACUAAGUUUAGUGAGAGUAGAUGUGCUUAAAAUGUAAUAAUUUAAAUGAUAUGAAA